GAUGAACGCUGGCGGCGUGCCUAAUACAUGCAAGUCGAGCGAACGGACGAGAAGCUUUCUUCUCUGAUGUUAGCGGCGGACGGGUGAGUAACACGUGGAUACCCUACCUAUAAGACUGGGAUCACUUCGUGAAACCGGAGCUAAUACCGUAUAAUAUUUUGAACCGCAUGGUUCAAAAGUGAAAGACGGUCUUGCUGUCACUUAUAGAUGGAUCCGCGCUGCAUUAGCUAGUUGGUAAGGUAACGGCUUACCAAGGCAACGAUGCAUAGCCGACCUGAGAGGGUGAUCGGCCAAACUGGAACUGGGAAAAGGUCCAGACUCCUACGGGAGGCAGCAGUAGGGAAUCUUCCGAAAUGGGCGAAAGCCUGACGGAGCAAAGCCGCGUGAGUGACGAAGGUCUUCGGAUCGUAAAACUCUGUUAUUAGGGAAGAACAUAUGUGUAAGUAACUGUGCACAUCUUGACGGUACCUAAUCAGAAAGCCACGGCUAACUACGUG
rnacentral:rRNA from 1 species